AUGUCCAGGAUGGCUUAUGGAUCCUCGGUGACAUCAAUACAAUACAAAAACCAUCUGGUGGCACCUGUGGUCUUUCUCAAGGCGUGUUUGAAACUGCCUCCUAAAGCGAAUAAUGUCAACGAGUGCUGCAAAUUUCCACCAUUAUUCUCCGAUGAAGAAUUAGCAAACUGCGGUCUAUCAGACGUAGUGUCAAAUCUAUCACAGAGAAAACCAGGAAAUUAUGAUGUUAUG